rnacentral:rRNA from 1 species
UACGGAGGGAGCUAGCGUUAUUCGGAAUUACUGGGCGUAAAGCGCACGUAGGCGGCUUUGUAAGUUAGAGGUGAAAGCCUGGAGCUCAACUCCAGAAUUGCCUUUAAGACUGCAUCGCUUGAAUCCAGGAGAGGUGAGUGGAAUUCCGAGUGUAGAGGUGAAAUUCGUAGAUAUUCGGAAGAACACCAGUGGCGAAGGGCGGCUCAUCUGGACUGGUAUUGACGCUGAGGUGCGAAAGCGUGGGGAGCAAACAGGG